AUAGCUGGUUCUCCGCGAAAUAGCUUUAGGGCUAGCCUCGGUUUAUAUGCAAAAGGGGUAGAGCUCUGAUUGGACUAGCGGGCUUCACAGCUUAGCAAAUCCUAAUAAACUUCAAAUACCAUAUAAAUUAUACCAGGAGUCAGACAGUGACAGAUAAGUGCCAUUGUCAAAAGGGAAACAGCCCAGAUUACUGUCUAAGGUCCCUAAUUAACAACUAAGUGGAAAAGGAUGUGAAAUUGCUGAGACAACCAGGAGGUUGGCUUAGAAGCAGCC
rnacentral:rRNA from 1 species